rnacentral:lncRNA from 1 species
AUAUAUAUAUUCCUAAAGUUUGCAAUGAAAUGCAUUCGUGUUCCAGUACUUUUUGAGCUUCACUGCAUAAAAAGGUGUUUUGUUAAAAAAAAGUAAGUGGAACAAGGGCAUUUUUACCACAAAUUUGACAGCGCUUAUC